UUAGGGUUUCGCACAGAGUAGCCAUGGGAGUCUUCACAUUUAUCGUACGCAACUCCGGCGGCGAAUGGACAGCCAAACAACAUUCCGGCGACCUCGAGUCCUCCGCCGACUCCUCCUACGAACUCCAACGGAAGCUCGUCCAAGCCGCUCUCGCCGUUGACUCCUCCGGCGGCGUUCAGUCCUCUUACUCUCCUGUUUCCCCUUCCUCUGCCAUAUUUCAGGUACAUCCUUAAGAUCUCUCACGAUUUCGGCUUUUUGAUUCGGAAGCGAAACUUUACGUUUACAUUUGCUCUGCCUUUAUCUUUUCCUUUUAAAAUUUCUUACCUCUAUUUAAUAAUUUAUUUACUGAUUUUAAUUGGAUUUGCUAGAUUCCGUAUUGUAUUGUAACGUGUGUUAUUGUAUAGCUUGCUUCGAAAUGAUGGAUAGGUUUUUGUCAUGCUAUUUUCUUUUCUGUGAAGAAUGCUGGUUCAUUUCUUUUGUCUGAGAUUUUGCUGAGGAAUGAAUAGUUUGACUGUAUCUGUUCGCUUUAUGAAGCUUCAUCGUUAUUCAUUUCUAAAAGGAUAAAUUGCGCGCUUGUAUUUUUCGUUGAUAGAACAUGGAUGCAAUUCUUCAAUUGAAAUUGGAGUUCAAAUUAACAGUCAGUGUGGAUCCAUUAUGCAAGAAAUUAUCAUGCAUAUUAUGGAAGUGGAUUUCUGAGACCAUGUUUGUACUAGCUUUUGUAUUAAAAAUGCUUUCAACAUGGAAACUUAUGAAGAAAAUUGAUUUUUCCAUGUUCCAUAUUUUAAAAAUAAAAAAAUAGAGAAAGUAUGAGAAAGUAUGUACAAUUAAACAAUAGUAUCAAAUGCACUUAUGCACCUCCAUCUAAGUUGGUUGACCAAUACACAUGCUAUUGGUGAUAGAUGGUGAUGGUUUUUCUGCUUUGAUGCAUUAUCCUUUGGAUUCAAGCAUUUCGUGGUGGGUCACAGAUGAGGUUAUUUUUAUUGAUUGUUUUGUUCAGGUAAUAGUGGGUGGUGCAGUAUUCGUUGGAGGUGGUGCGGUUGCAGCUGCACCCGCCGGAGGUGCUGCCCCAGCUGCUGAUGCUGCCCCGGCCGCUGAGAAGAAGGAAGAAAAGGUGGAGGAAGAGUCCGAUGAGGAUAUGGGUUUGGGUCUCUUUGAUUAGAGUUCUGUUUUUUGAGUUUUGAUGGAAGAAUUGUUUUAGUUUUUAAUCCUAUAAAUUAUAUUUGUGUAUUGCCUUUCGCUAGUUAAUGCUACAUUCAACUCCAUCAGAUAGAGUUUUUGUUUUUCUGUGAUGUGACCUAAAUCGUUCAUCUGUAUCGGGUUUUGCUAAUUAUUUCCUUUUAAAAAAUGCUCGCUCUUAAAUUUAAUAGAGUUCUACGUUUCCUUCAUACAUUUUUCUGCC
rnacentral:lncRNA from 1 species